UACAGAGGGUGCGAGCGUUGUUCGGAAUUAUUGGGCGUAAAGGGCGCGUAGGCGGCGCCACAAGUCACUUGUGAAAACUCUGGGCUCAACCCAGAGCCUGCAGGCGAAAACUGUGGUGCUGGAGUAUGAGAGAGGUGAGUGGAAUUCCCAGUGUAGAGGUGAAAUUCGUAGAUAUUGGGAAGAACACCGGUGGCGAAGGCGGCUCACUGGCUCAUUUCUGACGCUCAGGCGCGACAGCGUGGGGAUCAAACAGG
rnacentral:rRNA from 1 species